rnacentral:lncRNA from 1 species
UCAGGGCAGAAGGCUUUUGUUCCAAAGCCCCUCUGACCUGAACGCACACACUCACAGCGUGCCCUGUAUCUGGCUCAGAAGCCGUCGCUCCGAAGAAGAGCAGCCUUCAGACUACCAAGCAGAGUAAUUCCUCAGAAUUGUCCCACGUUGUCCUAGAGAAGUCGUCUUUAUAGGCAUGGAGUAGGGUGUCUGCAGGCCUCCAGUCAAUUCCAACCGAUUUCAACUGCCAAAGUUAAAAGUUGCCAUUGCAGUUACUGUCGGACCAAAGUAACCCCUGAGAACUCUCCACAUUUGUAAAACGGACUGAAAGGUUCAGUGGCGUUUCCCACCUGGAACAGGACUAGUAAUGCUUUGAACGUGAAGAGGUAUUAAUGGCCACUUGCCCUUUAAACCACAGAGGGACAGCUGAGCACAGUGACCUUCUAGCCCAACUUGAGAGAAGCAGGAAAUGGGGUCUGAGGCUGAAGGUUCAGAUGAUAAAAUGCCCCUCGGGAAGAUAACGAAAUGCUUCAUCCGAUGGUGGCCCAAGACACCUCUUAAAAUCUAAGGAAAUCGUUUCCCUUUUAAAAAGCUGCUUUGUGGAAAUAACAAGUGAGAUCUUUUCCUGCUGUUUGUCUCUCUGCCUGAAUCCGGACAUAUUUUCUCUCACAGAUG